rnacentral:SRP_RNA from 1 species
UUUAUUGCUAGGCUGGGUGGCUCAUCCUCACCUGUUACCACAAACGGAUGUCGGUGGAGCUGAAGCCUGAGGGGCGGCGUGACACAAAUUAAAGGUCUUAACUGGACCGUCGACGCCUUGUCCUCUAGGAUCGUGAUUUUUACGAACUGAGUCAGAUCAGGAAUGAAGCAGCUCUAAGAAUUAAUCAUGGUGCUUAGGGGGUUGCAGGGCUGAGGAAAAGUUAAGGGUGCUUUUAGUUUGCUGUUUUCGUCCACCUUCAGGCACGCACUUUU